rnacentral:rRNA from 1 species
UACGUAGGUUGCAAGCGUUAUCCGGAAUUACUGGGCGUAAAGCGCGCGUAGGCGGUUUUUUAAGUCUGAUGUGAAAGCCCACGGCUCAACCGGGGAAGGGCAUUGGAAACUGGAAAACUUGAGUGCAGAAGAGGAAGGUGGAAUUCCAGGUGUAGCGGUGAAAUGCGUAGAGAUAUGGAGGAAUACCAGUGGCGAAGGAGACU